GUCGGUGUGGCUUAAUGGAAGAGCACCUGCCUCGUAUGCAUGAGGUCCUGUGUUCAAUUCUCACCACUGCUA
rnacentral:tRNA from 1 species